rnacentral:rRNA from 1 species
GCCCUCUUCUCCCCUCUUUUUCCUUAUUGACUGGGCGUAAAGCGCACGCAGGCGGUCGCGCGCGUGGGGUGUGAAAUCUGGCCGCUUAACGGCCAGGCGCCAUCCCAUACGGCGCGACUGGAGUGAUGCAGAGGUCGAUGGAAUUGCCGGUGUAGUGGUGAAAUGCGUAGAGAUCGGCAGGAACACCCAGGGGGAAACCAGUCGACUGGGCAUCUACUGACGCUGAGGUGCGAGAGCGUGGGGAGCGAACCGG